UUCCUUUAGUCCGGAUAGUCAGCAGUUGAUGAGGAACAUUUCACUUAAAUGUGAGCCAUCCUCUUAUAAGGAAGCAGUAUUAAAUCCUGCUUGGCAGAUUGCAAUGACACAGGAAUUUGAAGCUCUGUAUGCAAACCAUACUUGGGAUCUUGUCCAAUUACCUACUGGAAAGAGAACCAUUGGUUGCAGGUGGGUUUACAAGGUUAAACACAAGGUUGAUGGAAGUAUAGAAAGGUUCAAGGAUAGACUCGUGGUGAAGGGAUACACACUAAAACAUGGUGUUGAUUAUAGUGAAACUUUCUCACUAGUAGUGAAGAUGACUAUUAUAAGAAUUUUUCUCAAUAUAGCGAUAAAGAAAGGAUGGAAACUCCAUCAACUUAAUGUCAACAAUGCUUUUCUACAUGGUGAUUUGCAUGAAAAGGUGUAUAUGGACCCUCCAAAGGGCCUAUUGUUGGAUAAUCCAAACCUUGUAUGCAAGCUAAGGAAAUCCUUGUACAGUUUGAAACAAGCUAGUAGGCAGUGGUAUGAAAAACUAGUUGAAUCUUUAUGUUUGCAGGGUUAUGUACAUUCUGCUAGUGAUUAAUCUUUAUUUUACAAGAAAACUCAUGGUUAUGUAGUUUUUGUUGUUGUGCAUAUUGAUGAUGUUAUAGUUACUGGUACUGAUGAGAAGGAGAUACACCAGCUGAAGUUGUUUUUACACAACAAGUUCAAAAUCAAAGAUCUGGGACAUCUAUAUUAUUUCUUGGGGUUAGAGGUAUUAUACAGACAUGUGGAAUUUUAAUUUUCCAGAGAAAAUUUGUCACUGAUUUGUUGAAAGAGUAUGAUCACCUGAACUACAACACUACUGCUUCCCCUCUUGAUCCCAAUGUUAAGUUACUAGCAAAUGAGGGAAAGUUGUUGUCUGACCCAACACCUUAUAAAAACCUGGUUGGGAAGCUGAAUUUUCUCACAAACACUAGGCUGGACCUUGCAUAUAGUGUGCAACAUCUUAGCCAAUUUAUGCAGGCUCCUAGAGAUCCCUAUUUCAAAGCUGCUUUACAUGUCCUGAGGUACUUAAAAUCAGAUCCAACCUUGGGUCUUUUCUUGUCAAAUGAUCCCAACUACACUCUGUUAGCUUGUUGUGACUCUGAUUAGGCUUCAUGUCCAGAUUCAAGAAGGCCUGUCAGUGGAUAUGUUGUGUUUCUUGGCAAUAGUCCAGUUAGUUGGAAAUCCAAGAAACAAACUACCAUUUCUCUAUUAUUAGCUGAGGCAGAGUAUCGGUCACUUAGAAAGGUUGUUGGUGAACGAGUAUGGGUGGAUAGACUGCUAACUGAGUUAACUAUUGUCUCCACCAAGCCUAUUUCAGUACUUUGCGAUAGUCAAGCAACCAUACACAUUGCAAGGAAUCCUGUUUUUCAUGAGAGAACUAAACAUAUAGAAGUAGACUGUCAUUUUGUCCGGAACAAGCUACAUGAAGGCCUCAUUACUUUGCAACAUGUUACUACAAAUGCUCAACUUGCAGACAUCUUGACAAAGUCUCUUACUGGAGUUAAGCACAUACUGUGUUAGGAAAGUUGGCUGUACUUUCAGCACCUCCAACUCGAAGGGGGGGUGUUGAGAUUAUUGAAGAAUCAUGUAAAGUUCUUACUGGAGUUAAGCAUCAUACUGUGUUAGGCAAGUUGGUUGUACUUUCAGCACCUCCAACUCGAAGGGGGGGUGUUGAGAUUAUUGAAGAAUCAUGUAAAGUAUGAUUAGCUGGUAGAUUAGAAUAUUUAAUUAUGUUGUUAGUGGUAGUUAGUUAGCUGACUAGACUUAGCUAGUUAGAUAGUUGUUGACAGCUGGCACCUACACACACUUGUAUAUAUGUAGAUUUUGCAUUCACGGAAUAGAG
rnacentral:lncRNA from 1 species